rnacentral:tRNA from 1 species
UUGACGAUCGCCUUGGCCGAGAGGAGCUUCUUCAGCUCCGGCGACUCGCCGCGGGUCGUCCCGGCGAGGAUCUUCUUCUCCUCGUCGAGC